CAAUAGGUUCUGGUUCCUGAUAUUCAUAAUCUUCUUUUUCUUGUGACCUCACUGCAGAAUAGAGACGGGUCAGGUUAAACCCCCAAAUCUGCAUUCGUUGGUGAUACUCUCUGCUGUGAAAGCUUCCCAUUAAAGGGAAUCACCAAGUAAAAAAGAUCAUUUAAUUUUAUUAAUUGUUUGUGUGGCCAUCGCUCUGCUUACCUGGUGUGGAAAGUAGCCAUAUAAUGCUCAGUCCAAGGAAAAUCCAUAAUUUAAGACGACUGGAAAACAUCUCUCUCUUGUUGGAAAUUGUAAUUCUUCUAAGAUUAAAUUUUACUGCAAAGAGAUAAAAGGAAAGAUUCGAUGUUAAACUCUGUGAUUCACUCAGUGGAACUAGAGAGGAUACUGGAGUGUGAAAUCUCAUUCCGUCUCUGCUAUAACAGUACAAUACAAGCUUUAUACACACACACAUUUAUGCAUACAUGUAAAUGUCAUUUCUGAAACUUAAAAUAUAUACUUAAAAAAUAUAUAUAUAUAAUUUGGCCCCUCCUAAGGUUUGUGGGUUAAAUGGGUCCCUUGCCCACAACGUUCCGUGUGCAAUAAAUGUGCAGUAGAUAUGGCCGUCUCCCAUAAACUCCAUUUCAUCCAAAUAACCCACAUUUUAAAAAAAUAUUUCCUUUUUCUCAGUAAUAAUAAAACCGUUCAUUGUACUUGAUCCAAACUAAGAUAUACUUGAUUUUCUGGUAGACUUAAGGUAUGAAGGUCCAAAUUACGAAAAGAUCCGUUAUCCGGAAAACCCCAGGUCCCAAGCAUUCUGGGUAACAGGUCCUAUACGUGUAAUACCUUUAGCUGACCUUGCUUACUUUAUAAUAUUUUAUACAGUAUGUUCUACCUUUUUUUUUUUUUAAAAAAAAAAACUAGUCUGUAACUGUCCUGUGCCUCAGUCUGUGGAAUAUAGGAAAACCAUCACUUACCCAUAAUGUUCUUUUCAAUAAAUAAGAGUAGAUAUUUUGAGAUAUGAUGUUGCUCUUGUGAGUGUUAAAGUGUAUAGUAGUGCCAACGAGGUGAGCCUUACAUCUGUCAGAUACAGUGUUUGUGAGGUCAUAGUGUUUAUGAUGUCAUAGUGAUAUGUUAUAAUGAUCAUACUGGUCACAAGCAAAGUGACUUUCAAGGGCUAAUAAGAACAAAGCGUUAAAAUACCUCUAUGAAUUUAUACAUAAUGCUCAAUUGCUGAGUAUUUUUAAAAAAGAUACUUCUCUCCUGUAAAAUAGUAGUAUAUGGAACUGUUGUGACUGUGUGUCAAUAUGAAUAUAAGCAUGACUUACCCAUAA